rnacentral:rRNA from 1 species
UGGGGAAUAUUGGACAAUGGGCGAAAGCCUGAUCCAGCCAUGCCGCGUGUGUGAAGAAGGUCCUCGGAUUGUAAAGCACUUUAAGUUGGGAGGAAGGGCAGUUACCUAAUACGUGAUUGUCUUGACGUUACCGACAGAAUAAGCACCGGCUAACUCUGUGCCAGCAGCCGCGGUAAUACAGAGGGUGCAAGCGUUAAUCGGAAUUACUGGGCGUAAAGCGCGCGUAGGUGGUUUGUUAAGUUGGAUGUGAAAUCCCCGGGCUCAACCUGGGAACUGCAUUCAAAACUGUCAAGCUAGAGUAUGGUAGAGGGUGGUGGAAUUUCCUGUGUAGCGGUGAAAUGCGUAGAUAUAGGAAGGAACACCAGUGGCGAAGGCGACCACCUGGACUGAUACUGACACUGAGGUGCGAAAAGCGUGGGGAGCAAAACAGGAUUAGAUACCCUGGUAGUCCACGCCGUAAACGUGUCAACUAGCCGUUGGGAGCCUUGAGCUCUUAGUGGCGCAGCUAACGCAUUAAGUUGACCGCCUGGGGAGUACGGCCGCAAGGUU